rnacentral:tRNA from 1 species
GGCUGGAUAUCGAAGUGGUUAACGAGGUAGAUUAGAAACCUACUGCCUUCGGGCGCGUGUGUUCAAAUCACACUCCAGUCG